AGUUGGACGAAUCGAUCAGCAACGAGCAGUGAUCUGCUGAUCUUGCGUGUGUCUGUGAACGCUGUUUGCCAGACGGCAGAAGCCCGUCCAUUCUUUACAGCGCGGACUACUCGUGUAUUAGUGUGUGGAGCGGGCCGGCCACGGGAGCAGCUGGAAAGGUUCACGGUCAUUUUCUGCAAGCGAGUACCGGAGUCCUGCUGCUUUAACACAUGCCAGCAGCGGUUCUUUGGCUAAAUUUAGUAUUUUGACCCUUUUAUGAAAGUAGAUUCAGAUUUUUUUUAAGUCGGACGAACCUUUUUUUAUUACUCAUCAUAACGGAAAUAUAAAGCUUGAAAGACCAAUCAAGGAAACUGAAAAGAAGAAGCAGGCUCAAAAAUUGACCCAGAUC
rnacentral:lncRNA from 1 species